GUGGGGAGCAAACAGGAUUAGAUACCCUGGUAGUCCACGCUGUAAACGAUGAGUGCUGAAUGUGGGGACGUAUUGUCUCUGUGUUGUAGCUAACGCGUUAAGCACUCCGCCUGGGGACUACGGUCGCAAGACUAAAACUCAAAGGAAUUGACGGGGACCCGCACAAGCGGUGGAGCAUGUGGUUUAAUUCGAUGCAACGCGAAGAACCUUACCACUUCUUGACAUGGAGAUUAGAUCCUUCUUAACAGAAGGGCGCAGUUCGGCUGGAUCUCGCACAGGUGCUGCAUGGCUGUCGUCAGCUCGUGUCGUGAGAUGUUGGGUUAAGUCCCGCAACGAGCGUAACCCUCAUCCUUAGUUGCCAGCGGGUUAAGCCGGGCACUUUAAGGUGACUGCCAGUGGUAAACUGGAGGAAGGUGGGGAUGAUGUCAAGUCAGCACGGCCCUUAUGGGGUGGGCUACACACGUGCUACAAUGGUGACUACAAUAGGUUGCAAUGUCGCAAGGCUGAGCUAAUCCGUAAAAGUCAUCUCAGUUCGGAUUGUCCUCUGCAACUCGAGGGCAUGAAGUCGGAAUCGCUAGUAAUCGUGGAUCAGCAUGCCACGGUGAAU
rnacentral:rRNA from 1 species